GAACGCGAAGAACCUUACCUGGUCUUGACAUGUACGGAAUCCUCCAGAGACGGAGGAGUGCCUUUGGGAGCCGUAACACAGGUGCUGCAUGGCUGUCGUCAGCUCGUGUCGUGAGAUGUUGGGUUAAGUCCCGCAACGAGCGCAACCCUUGUCAUUAGUUGCCAUCAUUCAGUUGGGCACUCUAAUGAGACUGCCGGUGACAAGCCGGAGGAAGGUGGGGAUGACGUCAAGUCCUCAUGGCCCUUAUGACCAGGGCUUCACACGUCAUACAAUGGUCGGUACAGAGGGUAGCCAAGCCGCGAGGUGGAGCCAAUCUCACAAAACCGAUCGUAGUCCGGAUUGCACUCUGCAACUCGAGUGCAUGAAGUCGGAAUCGCUAGUAAUCGCAGGUCAGCAUACUGCGGUGAAUACGUUCCCGGGUCUUGUACACACC
rnacentral:rRNA from 1 species